GGUUUUGUGGUGUAGUUGGUUAUCACAUUAGUCUUACACACUGAAGGUUUCUGGUUCAAGUCUGGGCGAAGACA
rfam:Ipomoea nil DNA, scaffold: scaffold1570, cultivar: Tokyo-kokei standard.